CAGAAGAUAGUUUAACCCAAAAUUUUGGCUUUGGGAGUCAAAGACAUAAGUGCGACCCUUAUUCUUCUGA
rnacentral:tRNA from 1 species